UUUGGUGUCAGUUAAGAUGGGUAUGGUGGUAGGAAGGUGGCAAUGAGGUAGGAGGGAGAAGAUUCCACUUCUCCCUACACAUGGGAGAAAAACCUAGCCAAUCUAUGGAGGAACAGAGUAAACAGCUAACAGUACCACAGCAUAUAUGAAAAUAAGAGAUGAAAAAUUAUAGCGGACACUGAAAAACCAGACGGUGAGGAGAGUGAUUCAGGACAAUAAGAUCCCAGGGACCAGUUCUCGGACCAGGGUGACUGCAGCC